rnacentral:rRNA from 1 species
GAUGAACGCUAGCGGGAGGCUUAAUACAUGCAAGUCGAGGGGUAACAUGGGAGACUUCGGUCACCUGAUGACGACCGGCGCACGGGUGCGUAACGCGUACACAACAUACCUUAUACUGGAGAAUAGCCCAUGGAAACGUGGAUUAAUGCUCCAUAGUAUCAAUUAGCUGCAUGGCUUGAUUGAUUAAAGCUCCGGCGGUAUAAGAUUGGUGUGCGUACCAUUAGAUAGUUGGUGAGGUAACGGCUCACCAAGUCAUUGAUGGUUAGGGGGCGUGAGAGCGUGGACCCCCACACGGGUACUGAGACACGGACCCGACUCCUACGGGAGGCAGCAGUAAGGAAUAUUGGACAAUGGAGGCAACUCUGAUCCAGCCAUCCCGCGUGUAGGAUGACGGCCCUCUGGGUUGUAAACUACUUUUAGACAGGAAGAAACGCCUUCAUUUAUGGGGGUCUGACGGUACUGUCAGAAUAAGCACCGGCUAAUUCCG